rnacentral:rRNA from 1 species
AUUGAACGCUGGCGGCAGGCCUAACACAUGCAAGUCGAGCGAGCGGCGGACGGGUGAGUAAUGUAUGGGGACUGCCCGAUAGAGGGGGAUAACUACUGGAAAAGGUGGCUAAUACCGCAUACUAUCGGAUAACCCAGAUGGGAUUAGCUAGUAGGUGGGGGAAUGGCUCACCUAGGCGACGAUCCCUAGCUGGUCUGAGAGGUUUAUCAGCCACACUGGGACUGAGACACGGCCCAGCAUCCUACGGAGGCAGCAGUGGGGAAUAUUGCACAAUGGGCGCAAGCCUGAUGCAGCCAUGCCGCGUGUAUGAAGAAGGCCCUAGGGUUGUAAAGUACUUUCAGGCGGGAGGCGUUACCGGCAGAAGAAGCACCGGCUAACUCCGUGCCAGCAGCCGCGGUAAUAC